CAUGUCUUUUUGAUUAUAAUUUAAAGUCCAAUCUGCCCACUGAAAAAUUAAAUGGCCGCAGUAAUUUGACUGUGCUAAGGUAGCAUAAUAAUUAGUUUUUUAAUUGAAAGCUGGUAUGAAUGAUUAAAUGAAAUAAAAACUGUCUCAUUAUUAAUAAAAUAGAAUUUUAUUUUUAAGUAAAAAAGCUUAAAUACAUUUAAAAGACGAGAAGACCCUAUAGAGUUUGAUAUAAAUAUUAAUUUUUUAAAAUUAAUAUAAAUUUAUAAUUUAAUAUUUUAUAUUUUAUUGGGGUGAUAGAUAAAUUUAAUAAACUUUAUUUUUUAUUAAACAUAAAUUAAUGAUUUUUUGAUCCUUAAUGAAAGAUUAUCAGAUUAAAUUACCUUAGGGAUAACAGCGUAAUUUUUUUUGAGAGUUCAAAUCGAAAAAAAAGAUUGCGACCUCGAUGUUGGAUUAAAGUUAAGUUUUGGUGUAGAAGCUAAAAAUUUAAGUCUGUUCGACUUUUAAAACUUUACAUGAUCUGAGU
rnacentral:rRNA from 1 species